rnacentral:lncRNA from 1 species
GCCCCGCCGCUGCUGUCACCCCCGGCCGCUGCUGCCCUCCCCGCCGAGGUUCUACUGCUCUCCUUCUUAAGAAGGGUGGGAGGCACUCGGUCUCUCCCCACACCUCUCGCCUGAGGCCAGGCGCCAGGUGUCGCCUGAAGCCAGACAGCCGGUUUGGGAGCGAGCCUGAGGCCAACCAAUCAAUGGCUCAGACAGAUAAGCCAACAUGCAUCCCGCCGGAGCUGCCGAAGAUGCUGAAGGAGUUUGCCAAAGCCGCCAUUAGGGUGCAGCCGCAGGACCUCAUCCAGUGGGCAGCCGAGUACGUGCUCCUUUCUCGCCUUCACCCCUUGGAGGACGGCCGGAGACAGAGGGUCCUGUAAAACCGCGGAGGUUGUCAUGGCUGCAGCUAGGAAGUCCGGACUAACUGGCAUCGUCUUUGUUUUAGCUCUUGCAUUGCUUUGAUGCUUUAAAAUCCACACAUAAAUGCUACAUCUAGCUGGGCAAGGAUGGGAUGCCUCCCCUAAGGGAGCCAGAUUGAGCAGUAGGACGCCAGGUCAAUAGGCCGUGUCCUGGGGCAAGCAGCAAGUUAGAUGACCGCGUCACACCAGCGUAUGCACACCCACCUCCUCCCUGCACGCCUUUUCCCACUCCCGGUGGAAAGAAGGGCUGGGAAUCUCCGAAGCUUAAUCUGCCUUUCUUCGUUCUCCUGUCUCACCACUAGAUGGCAGCAGUGCAGCCGGGGGAGGGAAGCGACAGCCCUGGGUGGAUGGGGUGGGACCAGUCCUGCUAGUUCACUCCUUUAAGGAGACACUUCCUCCCCUGCUGUUAAAACUCAUACUUGGACCCAACCAAAGACCCUUUAUAUCUUACAUGAAAAGCACUGCUCAGAUGGUUGUAUGUGACUUACUUAAAACCUGUAGCAUUUUAGAGAAUAAAACUCUGCAAAGUGUU